GGGGGGGGGGGGGCAAACCUGCUUUCGGUUUCGCCUCCGACCAAUGUUUUCCAUCGCCAAGGAUCUAGGUCGCUGGGUUUGGUGGUUGCUGCGGUUCGUCAACUCCCUUAGGCAAGGGGUGUCUUCAGCUCCUUGGUUUGUUUUGGCUGCCGAUGUUCUCCUCUUUCGGCGACCGCGGAAGAUUUGGUCGGCUCGGAGAGUAGCAGUCUAUCCUCUUGUAUCCUCUUUGUAUUUUGUUGCUUGUAUGCGAAGCCGGAUUGUAUCCUUACUCAUAUGAAUACAAGUAGAGUACGCCUCUUUAAAAAAAAAGAUACACCAUUACAUGAACCAUGUCAAAAUGAAAUGAAUUAACACAAGGGUGCCAAGACUCAACCCUCAACAUUGUCUUCCGUUUUUUAAUUUCAAAAUGUAAACAAACUCCGAAAAGCCUGAAAAUACAUGUUGGAAAAUAUAUUCAGAUAGGGUACAGAAAAUAGAUUCCGUUCGAGUUAUCCAUGUCCAAGAACAAAUUUAAUUUAGUAAAAUAAAACAAAAAAAGUAAGGAAAAAAACCACGAAAAUGAAUAGUAGCAUGUGCGUUUCAAACCUAGCACGUCUUUGCAUUGCUAAUGCCAGAUAACCACUACAGUAAGCUACCAUUUCAAUGUAAAACACACACCGGACGUUUUUAUAGGAGGAAAUGAUUUUUUCUAGCCUGCUGCGUUCUGAUUGGACGAACCAGACCUCCCACGGAUCAAGCGUCUCCACCGUCCAUUCUUACCCGAUCCAACGGUCGCUGCUCCUUCUACUCUCUAUUUGUGCUUUCCCUGGUUCUUAUCCUCUCACACAGUACGCGAGCACGAUGCGAGCAGCAGCAGCAGAGCCCGACGAACUCCAGAGCUCGCAGCGGACGCAGGCCGCCGUCUGCGUGACGGGCCUCCGCCCGCACCUCCCACCGUAGCACGCCGCAAUGGAGGCCAAGCGCCCAUGGAAUCGUCUGAGCUCUCCUCCCAGCCGCCGUUCUCCUUCAAAUUCGUCGGGAUCCGGUUGGAUCUAGACGCCGGCGCCCCGUUCCCGACCUUCCCGCCUUGCUUGGGUCGUCGGCCACCGCGACGAUGUCAAUAUCGCUCGCGGGAUCCAGCGCCACCGCUGCUGGCCACUUCCUCGCCUGGAGGAGAUGCCCCCACAUCCGCGGCUCCCCACACGAGCAGCAGCAGCGAACACGUCGCUAAGGCCGUCUCCGGCGGUGUCUUUUUCUUUUUAUAGAAGUUUGCCAAAUCUGUGCCAGAACAGCCAUGGCGAUGAACUCCAGCUCAAGGCCCGCGAGCGCUUGGUGGCGUUUGAUGCGGUGCCUGGAGAAUAUCUCUGGGCAGAGUAGUAGGCCAGAUCUAGUUUAGGAAAAAAAAAUCUGUAAUUCCAAGUUUUUCUUGUGUAUUUCUUCUUUUUGGUAAAACAAAUUUUAGUUAUCUGGUA